GCUCCGUUGGCGCAACGGAAGCGCGCCACUCUCCUACCCUUAUGGGUAGAAAAGUGGCGGUUGCGGGUUCAAGUCCCGUGCGGAGCU
rnacentral:tRNA from 2 species